CCUGCAGCUGCGCCGCCGGCUUCCGCGGAGCCAAUUGCGACGAGCGGUUAGAUCCGUGCGAGUCGAACCCGUGCGGGUACGACGAGGGGCUAUUGUGCGACGUCGGCCCCGACGGCGGCCACGUGUGCCGAUGUUUGUUCGGCGGCGACCCCGACUCGAACGGAAACACGUGCAACAACGAUGUGAACGUCGUCCAGGAGACCUGGUCCCCGCAGUUCAAUGGCACGAGUUACGUCGAGCUGCCGCCCCUCGAAGGGUUGGGGAAGGCGUUCCGAAUCGAAAUUUGGUUUUUAACGAACCGAUUCUCUGGAAUGCUCCUCUACACCGGCCAGUCCAAUAAAGCGAGGGGCGACUUUAUAGCGAUUAACUUAGUUAAUGGAUACCUCCAGUUUAGGUACAAUUUGGGAAGCGGAAUCGCCAAUAUAACGGCGCCGGCGCCGGUGACGAAGGGGCGCUGGCACCGCGUGCGGGCGAC
rnacentral:misc_RNA from 1 species